rnacentral:rRNA from 1 species
UAAGAAAGUUCUGCAGUAUCGCGUUGAGUGUGGAGACGUAGUGGAUCAGGGGGGGAGUUUCUCCUAAUGCUAAUGAACGGCGAGAGACCGAUAGCGAACAAGUACCGUGAGGGAAAGAUGAAAAGAACUUUGAAAAGAGAGUUAAACAGUACGUGAAAUUGUUGAAAGGGAAACGAUUGAAGCCAGUCGUACCUUCGGGUAAUCAGCCUUUCGGGUGCGAUUAUGUGGAGUGUGAGGAGCUUAAACACCUUCAUGUUUUGCAUAUUCGUACUCUUGGGUGUACUUGCCCGUGUGGUUGGUUAACAUCAAUUUUGGGGGUCAUAAAAUGACUGGAGGAAUGUAGCUUCGAUCUCGUAUUGAAGUGUUAUAGCCUUCGGUAGAUGUGAUGAUCGAGAUUGAGGAUUGCAACGGAUACCCUUCGGGGCUACCUGUCUGAUCUCUGAUCGUUGCUCUGGUGCCGAAAGCUUGCUUACGGUUAUCAAAGUCGAUGGUCAAUAGGUUAGAACGGGUUAAAUUCGUUAAGGAUGUUGACGUAAUGGA